rnacentral:rRNA from 1 species
GACGAGCGCUGGCGGCGUGCCUAAUACAUGCAAGUCGAGCGGAACUGGGGGAGCUUGCUCCUUCCAGUUUAGCGGCGGACGGGUGAGUAACACGUGGGCAACCUGCCCUGCAGAUCGGGAUAACUCCGGGAAACCGGUGCUAAUACCGAAUAGUUUGGCGCCUCUCCUGAGGCGCUACGGAAAGACGGUUUCGGCUGUCACUGCAGGAUGGGCCCGCGGCGCAUUAGCUAGUUGGUGGGGUAACGGCCCACCAAGGCGACGAUGCGUAGCCGACCUGAGAGGGUGACCGGCCACACUGGGACUGAGACACGGCCCAGACUCCUACGGGAGGCAGCAGUAGGGAAUCUUCCGCAAUGGACGCAAGUCUGACGGAGCAACGCCGCGGGAGUGACGAAGGUUUUCGGAUCGUAAAACUCUGUUGUGAGGGAAGAACACGUACCAACUAACUAUUGGUACCUUGACGGUACCUCGCCAGAAAGCCACGGCUAACUACGUGCCAGCCGCCGCCGUAA